rnacentral:rRNA from 1 species
UAAACUAGGGAUUGAUACCCUAUUAUUCUAAAUUAAAAUGAAAUAUAUUAAAUAUUAAAUGUGAAACAUUAAAUUUAAAUAAUUUGGCGGUAUUUUAGAAAGUUAGAGGAAUCUGUUAAGUAAAUGAUAUUCCACGAUAGGAAUGUCCUAAUAAAUUUUUAUAUAUUGUUGUAUUAAUAUUAAUUUAGAAGAAUUUAAUAGAGAUUCAUUAUAUUGGAUUAAUUCAAAUCAAAAUGUAGAAUUAUUAGGUUUAAAUGGAUUACAAUUUAUAGAAUAAAUUGGAGUUUAAUUUUUAAUUAAUUAAAUAAAAGUGGAUUUAAUAGUAAAUUUAUAAAAUUUUAUAAUUUGAAUUAAAUAUAAAAUAUGUACAAAUUGCCUUCAUUUUCAAAA